rnacentral:rRNA from 1 species
UACGUAGGGUGCAAGCGUUGUCCGGGAUUAUUGGGCGUAAAGAGCUCGUAGGCGGUCCGUCGCGUCGGCUGUGAAAACUCAGGGCUCAACCCUGAGCCUGCAGUCGAUACGGGCGGACUAGAGUAUGGCAGGGGAGACUGGAAUUCCUGGUGUAGCGGUGAAAUGCGCAGAUAUCAGGAGGAACACCGGUGGCGAAGGCGGGUCUCUGGGCCAUAACUGACGCUGAGGAGCGAAAGCGUGGGGAGCGAACAGG